rnacentral:rRNA from 1 species
AUGAACGCUGGCGGCGUGCCUAAUACAUGCAAGUCGAACGAGGUGCUUUUGUAGCAAUACGGAAGUAUCCUAGUGGCGAACGGGUGAGUAACGCGUUGGUGACCUACCCCAAAGUGUGGGAUAACAGUUCGAAAGAACUGCUAAUACCGCAUGUGGUUAUUGGAUUUAGAAACCGAUAACUAAAGGAGCAAUUCGCUUUGGGAGGGACCUGCGUCCCAUCAGCUAGUUGGUGAGGUAAUGGCUCACCAAGGCUACGACGGGUAGGGGACCUGAGAGGGUGACCCCCCACAAUGGAACUGAAACACGGUCCAUACACCUACGGGUGGCAGCAGUAGGGAAUAUUGCACAAUGGGCGAAAGCCUGAUCCAGCAACGCCGCGUGCACGAUGACGGCCUUCGGGUUGUAAAGUGCUUUUAAGGGAGAUGAGAAAGGACAGUAUCCCUUGAAUAAGCCUCGGCGAACUACGU